rnacentral:rRNA from 1 species
UACGUAGGGUGCGAGCGUUGUCCGGAAUUAUUGGGCGUAAAGGGCUCGUAGGCGGUCUGUUGCGUCGGGAGUGAAAACUCAGGGCUUAACCCUGAGCCUGCUUCCGAUACGGGCAGACUAGAGGUAUGCAGGGGAGAACGGAAUUCCUGGUGUAGCGGUGAAAUGCGCAGAUAUCAGGAGGAACACCGGUGGCGAAGGCGGCAUCCUGGACCGGUAUUGACGCUGAGGCGCGAAAGCUAGGGGAGCAAACGGG